UUAGCUGGAAGACCUCGAUAGGAGGCAUUUGUUUUCUUUUGUUUAUUUACUUCUGAGCCCCUUGUUGGCACAUUUACUUUAUACAUGUUUGUUUUGUAUGUGUUCGUAUCCCCACAGGUAGCGCGGUUCCUUCGUCAAGGACUGCCUUUUUGCAUGAGCAUCCCAAACCCUAACCCUUCAUUGAUUUUUCUUCUCCUAAACAC
rnacentral:lncRNA from 1 species